CCCGCCCUGCGCCGCCGGCCGCCGUGAAGCACCGGCCCGCCCUGUGCCCCAAUCUCCCCUCGUGGCUCUGGCUCUCCUUCCCCUACCUCCCCUACUGACACCACCUCCUACCUCCUGCCAUCGUUGUCGGCAGCGUCGCCAUUACUCCUCCUCCACCUAUCCCCCGGCCACCGCGCCUCCUCUCACCCCGGCCGGCGCUCAACCCACCCCAUCUCGCUCCAACGGUGCCGCUACUCACCAUCCAAGCCCGAAGGCCACCGCGCCUCCUCUCAUGCCCGUCUGCCGUGCCUCCCCUUCCCGAUUGCAUCGCGUCACCGACGAACUCCUGCUGGUCGCCGCAGGCGUACCUUCCUCUGCACGACCGGAUCGGCCAAGGCCCUACCUUGCCUCACCGCCCUUCGACAUUCCUGCGGCGGAGGUCUCCAAUCCGCGCCGUCCCGCUCCCGUUCCUUCUCACUACCUCCGGCUGCUUGAGCAGGGGAGGCCGACAAAUCCGGGCAGUUCCGGCUUCGCCGCGACGCCAGGCGACCGGACCGAGCAGCAGGCGUCCGCCAGUCUCUGCCCUCAUAGGAUCCGACUCAAGGACCGUGGUCUCCCUCCUGCGUGUGGGCGUUGCGGUGCCGAAUCACCAGGUAGAGAAGCGACAUCCACCCUUCAUGGCCUGGCCUCCUGCUCCGGCCUUGAUCUCCUAGUCCGCCGGCCUGGCCUCGCUACGGACUCCUCGCGUCGCCAGUCCCGCGUCCCGUGGCUGCACGCGGUGAUGCAGCCCACACCACAGCGACCCGUGCAUCGCUGAUUCUUCAACAUCAGUCGGUUCGAGUGGGAAGGAGGUUGAACCCAAUAGGCAGAGCGUCGGCGCUACCUCACCCCCCACCUUCUCCGUCCCUUUAAUUCACGAGCACCACCUCAACCCCCGAGCAGUGCGGGCAGUGCGGACGUGCAGUCCGAUGGGCGCAUGAGUGCAGUGCACUGAGUGUGUGGUUCCACUUCCUCUUCUUCCCUCUUUGGGAUCUGCCGCCGCUGGGUUUGGAACAGUUAUCCAUCAAUACGUCACUACAGGAGGAGGCAUGUAGCCACUCUUCGUGUUGUUCCUUUUUGUGCAAAAUUCAUAACCAAUGCAGUGCAGGCUGCUCCCCGUCCCUCCCCGACGCAUUGAUUUUUUCCCGGAAAGAUGAUAUAGCAGUACACUUGGAUACCAUGGAGGUUCAGAUGCUUAGUUCUCCGUUCAGAUUUGCAGUGCAGUGCGUGUUUGUGGAACCAGAAAAAUGGUUGUUUAUUCAUUUUAAUUUUUUUUGCGUGCAAUAACUUGUUAUGCGUUGAACAGUGC
rnacentral:rRNA from 1 species